CCUACGGGUGGCAGCAGGGAGGAAUAUUGGUCAAUGGCCGGAAGGCUGAACCAGCCAUGCCGCGUGAAGGUCAGUGCCCUAUGGGCGUUAAACUUCUUUUGUGCGGGAGCAAUAAUGGUCACGUGUGGCCAGACGAGAGUACCGUACGAAUAAGCAUCGGGUAACUCCGUUCAAGCAGCCGCGGUAAUACAGGGGAUGCAAGCGUUAUCCGGACUGAUUGGGUUUAAAGGGUGAGUAGGCUGUGAGGUAAGUCAGCGGUGAAAUGCCCCCGCUCAACGGGGUGAAGUGCCAUUGAUACUGCCUUGCUGGAAUGCGGAUGCCGUGGGAGGAAUGUGUGGUGUAGCGGUGAAAUGCAUAGAUAUCACACAGAACACCGAUUGCGAAGGCAUCUCACGAAUCCGCGAUUGACGCUGAUGCACGAAAGCGUGGGUAUCAAACAGGAUUAGAUACCCUAGUAGUC
rnacentral:rRNA from 1 species